GAGUUUGAUUAUGGCUCAGAACUAACGCUGGCGGCGUGCCUAACACAUGCAGGUCGUACGAGAAAGUCGGCUUCGGCCGAUAAGUAAAGUGGCGCACGGGUGAGUAACACGUGGAUAACCUCCCCUUCAGUCGGGAAUAACCUACCGAAAGGUUUGCUAAUACCCGAUAACAGCGGUCCAUUCCGAUGGAUCGGUCAAAGAUGGCCUCUGCUUGCAAGCUAUCGCUGAUGGAUGGGUCCGCGUACCAUUAGCUAGUUGGUAGGGUAAUGGCCUACCAAGGCUGUGAUGGUUAGCUGGUCUGAGAGGAUGACCAGCCACACUGGAACUGAGACACGGUCCAGACUCCUACGGGAGGCAGCAGUGAGGAAUAUUGCGCAAUGGGGGAAACCCUGACGCAGCGACGCCGCGUGAGUGAGGAAGGCCUUCGGGUCGUAAAGCUCUGUCAGAUGGGAAGAAAUGGUUGAGUGCUAAUAUCGCUCAUCCUUGACGGUACCAUCAGAGGAAGCACCGGCUAACUCCGUGCCAGCAGCCGCGGUAAUACGGAGGGUGCAAGCGUUGUUCGGAAUUAUUGGGCGUAAAGCGCGUGUAGGCGGUAGGGUAAGUCAGAUGUGAAAGCCCUGGGCUCAACCCAGGAAGUGCAUUUGAAACUGCUCUGCUAGAGUGGGGGAGAGGAAAGUGGAAUUCCUGGUGUAGAGGUGAAAUUCGUAGAUAUCAGGAGGAACACCGGUGGCGAAGGCGGCUUUCUGGCCCUUCACUGACGCUGAGACGCGAGAGCGUGGGUAGCAAACAGGAUUAGAUACCCUGGUAGUCCACGCCGUAAACGAUGUUCACUAUGUGUUGGGGGUAUUGACCCCCUCAGUGCCGCAGCUAACGCAUUAAGUGAACCGCCUGGGGAGUACGGUCGCAAGAUUAAAACUCAAAGGAAUUUGACGGGGGCCCGCACAGCGGUGGAGCAUGUGGUUAUUUCGAUGCAACGCGCAGACCUUACCUGGGCUUGACAUCCCGAGAUCUGAUGAAGUCGGGAGUGCCCAUCCGGUCUCGAGACGUGCUGCAUGGCUGUCGUCAGCUCGUUCCUUGAAUGUUGUCAAGUACCGCACGAGCCAAUCUAAUCCUUUAAUGCAC
rnacentral:rRNA from 2 species